rfam:Ancylostoma duodenale strain Zhejiang A_duodenale-1.0_Cont3373.4, whole genome shotgun sequence.
GCAACGAUGGUUCAGUGAUAAACUGCUCGCUUGCUACGCGGGCGGCCCAGGUUCGAUUCCCAGCCGAUGCA